GGGAAUUUUGGACAAUGGGGGCAACCCUGAUCCAGCCAUCCCGCGUGUGCGAUGAAGGCCUUUGGGUUGUAAAGCACUUUUGGCAGGGAAGAAACAGCCUGGGCUAAUAUCCCGGGCGACUGACGGUACCUGCAGAAUAAGCUCCGGCUAACUACGUGCCAGCAGCCGCGGUAAUACGUAGGGAGCAAGCGUUGUCCGGAUUUACUGGGUGUAAAGGGUGCUCAGGCGGAUUUGUAAGUCAGAGGUGAAAUCUCACAGCUUAACUGUGAAACUGCCUUUGAUACUGCAAGCCUAGAGUAUGGAAGAGAGUGAUGGAAUAUCUGGUGUAGCAGUGAAAUGCGUAGAUAUCAGAUAGAACACCAAUGGCGAAGGCAGUCACUUGGUCCACUACUGACGCUAAAGCACGAAAGCGUGGGUAGCAAACA
rnacentral:rRNA from 1 species